UGGACUGAUAGCUCAGUAGGUAGAGCACCGGAGUGAAGUCCCGGGGGUCGGCGGUUCAAGUCCGUCUCAGUCCAU
rnacentral:tRNA from 1 species